rnacentral:rRNA from 1 species
CCUACGGGUGGCAGCAGUGAGGAAUAUUUGUCAAUGGACGAGAGCCUGAACCAGCCAAGUAGCGUGAAGGAUGACUGCCCUAUGGGUUGUAAACUUCUUUUAUAUGGGAAUAAAAUGUUCCACGUGUGGGAUUUUGUAUGUACCAUAUGAAUAAGGAUCGGCUAACUCCGUGCCAGCAGCCGCGGUAAUACGGAGGAUCCGAGCGUUAUCCGGAUUUAUUGGGUUUAAAGGGAGCGUAGAUGGGUGUGUAAGUCAGUUGUGAAAGUUUGCGGCUCAACCGUAAAAUUGCAGUUGAAACUGGCAGUCUUGAGUACAGUAGAGGUAGGCGGAAUUCGUGGUGUAGCGGUGAAAUGCUUAGAUAUCACGAAGAACUCCGAUUGCGAAGGCAGUUCACUGGACUGCAACUGACACUGAGGCUCGAAAGUGUGGGUAUCAAACAGGAUUAGAUACCCUAGUAGUC